rnacentral:rRNA from 1 species
CAGUCGCCACGGUAAAACGUAGGGCGCAAGCGUUGUCCGGAAUUAUUGGGCGUAAAGAGCUCGUAGGCGGUCUGUCGCGUCUGGUGUGAAAUCCCGAGGCUCAACCUCGGGCUUGCAUCGGGUACGGGCAGACUAGAGUGCGGUAGGGGAGACUGGAAUUCCUGGUGUAGCGGUGGAAUGCGCAGAUAUCAGGAGGAACACCGAUGGCGAAGGCAGGUCUCUGGGCCGCAACUGACGCUGAGGAGCGAAAGCAUGGGGAGCGAACAGGAUUAGAUACCCCCGUAGUCCCUGUCUCUUAUAC